CAGAAACAUUUUACUAUGGGCCUGAGAAGUCUGUCAAAGCAGAACAUUUUUUUAAAAUACCAGUACCAUCAGAGGAAUGUUCCUUUUAAGGUACCCUGCCCUGCUCUUUGCAUGAUGUCUUCCACAGUUAAACCCUCUGAGUCUGAAUUUGGCUUCAUCUGUACCUCAAACAAUCCAGGAAAGAUAUUGCCUGGAAUAUUCUGCCAGAAACGUGAAUGCUUCAGAAAAUUACAAACAACCAAAAUUUUGAGAAUUUAGAUUGUGCAGCAUUGUGUCCGUGAACUUCCAGAGUUUGCAUUAAAAAGUGACAGAACAUCAGAGUGCCAGAAGCUUCUCAUAUUGUGGCCCUGACGGUAAAAGUAAAAGAAACUAUCUUGGUCUGUGUUUGGGAACACUUGCCAAAACCUCUGCAAAGCUCUUGUGACAUGUAAGAGAUCUUAAAGAAGUGGGUUGGGAUUUUGACCAUGGACUAAAUACAAUUAAGAGAUGCUAAGGAGUAGCACUAGUGCUUUGCAUGUUUUCAGGGUGUUUCUUCUCCAAUUUCUAAAACCUAGAAAGAGGAAUCCAGUCCAAUGCCAUGAAUAGUUAGUGGUGUGCUAAGAAUUCAGUUUGCAUUUAUUUCCUUUUCAUUAUUCAAUGUA